UUUCAAGUGCAGACCGGAAGAUACGAAGAUCAAGUGGUCAAAUCAAAUCCUACAACAAAUGAUUGGGUUCCUUCAAGUGGUGAUCAAGAUGAAUAUGUGUCGUCGAAACCUAACCGGAGUGAGAAUUGGUAGAUCAUCGGUGACGUGUAAUGUAAUGUAAUUUUAUUUUUAUAAUGAUGAUGGGAGUUUGAAUCGGAAGGGAUAAGAUUAUAUAUGUAUUUUGA